AUUCGAUUGCUUCAAAAUAUCUGUCAUUGAUAAGGAUAAAAUAAAAAAUUGAUAUGUGAUUUUAUCAUUUUAAAAUUUCAUUAUGUGAAAUGAGUAUUUUGUAAACUUAGUUACAUGGUUUAGUAAAAGCUGGAAUUUCAGCUCGAUCGGGAACCGGCGCCUAGUGUUCUUCAGCUUCUUCGACGAGACGAAGAGAAGGUUGUAACGACGGUGCCUUUUGAGGAUUUCCUUCGCCAUCGCUACGGAAGCUGACAGCCCAUCUGCUGGAUGGUUUUGAAGCCGUCUUGAAUCUCAAUGAGAGAGCGAGAAGGCGCGUUGUGCAGAUUUCCCUCCAUCUGCAGAACUGGAAGUUGCUCGUGUUGAAGGCGUUAAUUCAUCGAGGAAGAAGAGGAGGAAGUGACAUUUUGGGCAUUGGUUAUGCCAACUGUGGUAAUCACAAGGACAAUAACGUGUCGGUUGCUUUUCCUCCCAUCGUUUCUUUGAGCUACAUGUUUUUUUUUUUUUUGUGUGAGAAAAAUUGUUAGUUAGGCGUGGUAAUUGCUUAGUAGUUUGGAUUGAUCAAG